GACGAACGCUGGCGGCAUGCCUAAUACAUGCAAGUCGAGCGAACGGAUGAAGUGCUUGCACUUCUGACGUUAGCGGCGAACGGGUGAGUAACACGUAAGGAAUCUACCUAUAAGCGGGGGAUAACAUUCGGAAACGGGUGCUAAUACCGCAUAAUAUCUUCUUCCGCAUGGAAGAAGAUUGAAAGACGGCUCUGCUGUCACUUAUAGAUGACCUUGCGGUGCAUUAGUUAGUUGGUGGGGUAAUGGCCUACCAAGACGAUGAUGCAUAGCCGGCCUGAGAGGGUGAUCGGCCACAUUGGGAAUGAGACACGGCCCAAACUCCUACGGGAGGCAGCAGUAGGGAAUCUUCCGCAAUGGGCGAAAGCCUGACGGAGCAAUGCCGCGUGAGUGAAGAAGGCCUUCGGGUCGUAAAACUCUGUUAUAAGAGAAGAACAAAUUGUAGAGUAACUGCUACAGUCUUGACGGUAUCUUAUCAGAAAGCCACGGCUAACUACGUGCCAGCCGCCGCUGUAA
rnacentral:rRNA from 1 species